GACGAACGCUGGCGGCGUGCCUAACACAUGCAAGUCGAGCGGAGACAUGCGACGGAGCGGAAGUUUUCGGAUGGAAGCAAAGAUGUAUGUUUUAGCGGCGGACGGGUGAGUAACGCGUGAGCAACCUGUCCCUCACAGGGGGAUAACACAGCGAAAGUUGUACUAAUACCGCAUGAGACCACAGCAGGGCAUCCUGCGGGGGUCAAAGGAGAAAUCCGGUGAGGGGUGGGCUCGCGUCCGAUUAGAUAGUUGGUGGGGUAACGGCCUACCAAGUCGACGAUCGGUAGCCGACCUGAGAGGGUGAUCGGCCACAUUGGGACUGAGACACGGCCCAAACUCCUACGGGAGGCAGCAGUGGGGAAUAUUGGGCAAUGGGGGGAACCCUGACCCAGCAACGCCGCGUGAGGGAAGAAGGUUUUCGGAUCGUAAACCUCUGUCCUUGGUGAAGAGGAAGAGACGGUAGCCAAGGAGGAAGCCCCGGCUAACUACGUGCCAGCAGCCGCCGUAAAAC
rnacentral:rRNA from 1 species